rnacentral:rRNA from 1 species
AGUGAACGCUGGCGGUAGGCCUAACACAUGCAAGUCGAACGGCAGCACAGAGGAGCUUGCUCCUUGGGUGGCGAGUGGCGGACGGGUGAGGAAUACAUCGGAAUCUACUCUGUCGUGGGGGAUAACGUAGGGAAACUUACGCUAAUACCGCAUACGACCUACGGGUGAAAGCAGGGGAUCUUCGGACCUUGCGCGAUUGAAUGAGCCGAUGUCGGAUUAGCUAGUUGGCGGGGUAAAGGCCCACCAAAGCGACGAGCCGUAGCUGGUCUGGAAGGAUAAACAGCCACACUGGAACUGAGACACGGUCCAGACUCCUACGGGAGGCAGCAGUGGGGAAUAUUGGACAAUGGGCGCAAGCCUGAUCCAGCCAUACCGCGUGGGUGAAGAAGGCCUUCGGGUUGUAAAGUCCUUUUGUUGGGAAAGAAAUCCAUCUGGUUAAUACCCGGGUGGGAUGACGGUACCCAAAGAAUAAGCACCGGCUAACUUCGUGCCAGCCGCCGCCGUAA